rnacentral:misc_RNA from 1 species
AUUUUAAACUAAGAAAAGCGUAGGAAGUUAAUACGCUCUGUCUCCCAAUUUCAUUUUGAUCUCUGGCCACGCCUCUGCAACCCCAAAUUCCUAAUCCUGUGCUGAAGUCGAGUCACUGCCGUCAAGAAUGUGACGUUUUGCACUGGAUUUAGUAUCUCCACCACUUUAGCCACAGUGUCCGUCCUCAACAAAUCCGCCCUAGCCAACAAGGACUCCAAGGCCGAUCCAAGCGUCACGAUCGCCGACUGAUCCCUGACUACGUCGUCAUCCCCCACCCGUCCUUUCCGCCUCGUCAAAUCAAUCAACGGCGGCGACGCCACGCUCUCUUGAAUUCUCGCCAAUUCAUCAUUCAUCAUUCUCUCACUCACUCUGGUGUUCUCAAUUAGCCUACUCAUCCUUUGAUAUUGAUCUUCAGACAAAUUGUUGACCGAGUCAUUGACUACCCUAAAAGCGAGUGCAGGCUUGAAUCCGGCGAUCCAAAGGAAGCUGCGUUCGAAGGGGGUGAACCAAGUGGGAGAGAAGACAAGGAAGAUAUUCCGUUGAGCGACUCUGGAUUUUUCUUGGUAAUACUGUUCAUAAUGGAAUAGGACUCGGCUGAUCAGGUCUUCGAGAUCCUCGUCUUGAGAUUCGUGGCAAUGUUGCUCAACAGAGAGGAGUUCGUCAAGAAAGUGUUCCUGGCGCACAAGCCAUCCUUCAACAAAUUGAUGGAAGGAGUCAGCAGCUGCGUCGUUGGUGUCAUCUCCCGCUGUUCCCGUUCUUGAUGCGGUUGGCAUUAAAGGUACCAAAAGGACAAGCCAAGAAGAAGCAGAGAGAGAGAGAUAGAAAAAAGAUACACCACGCAGAGGUGCGAGAGGUGGGUAGGCAAUGAUGCUCAGCUCCACGACUCAGCUAGAGCGCUCUGCUUUUGCCUUGUACAUACGGUAGCUCUGCAAAAGAGUGCAUAAUAAUAUCUCGCUUGGCGUGGAUGCUUCGAGAGGAAGCUGAUAUUUAUAGGACUGAGAAGAGAAGACGACAAAAAGGGAUCUCAGGUGGAGAUUCCGGUAUUACACUCUGCCAUUAACUAAGACGGCUAUAAAGAAAAACCGACUCAAAAAUCUGCAACUGAAACCCACAGAAAGAUAGAAGUAUCGGUGCAGUUUGUCUUGGAGCGAAGAAGGGCUUUGUUCGAUGGGGAAACAGUGGAAUUUCAGUUUUUUAUUGUUAAUUAUUUCUAAUUUAAUUGAAUAAAAUACUAAAAUACUACUAUAUAUGACUGAACAUUACCGCUGGCUGCUAACCGGAUAUCUCACUGGUGCGACGCCGCGUUUCCAAACUCGAAUCUUCUAAGUGGAUAAAAAUUAGCAAGCCGAGUCACCGAGACUUGGUGGA